rnacentral:lncRNA from 10 species
CCGAGAACUUACAUUUCCAGCGACUGACCGUGAUGAUCAGAAGUUGACUCUACAUCCACCCUCAUGAUAGUUGGGAAGAAUGAGUCCCAGAGAGCUGUGACAUCAUCCUCCUACCUUCCUGAGAGCAUUGGAAAAAAGAAUGAACGUCUCUCAAACUCUGAAGGGUUUUGAGAAAGAUCCUGGGAUGACUAAGAGGAAAUGACAGUCACUUUAAUUUUCAGAGUGAAUGGUAAAAGAGAAGGUGUUAGGAACAUUAUUAUUACCUGAGAGAGAGAAAAAGAGAGAGAAUAUAUCUGGGG